UACGUAGGGUGCGAGCGUUGUUCGGAUUUACUGGGCGUAAAGGGCGCGUAGGCGGUCGUGACAAGUCACUUGUGAAAUCUCCGGGCUUAACUCGGAACGGUCAAGUGAUACUGUCGGACUAGAGUACAGAAGGGGCAACUGGAAUUCUCGGUGUAGCGGUGAAAUGCGUAGAUAUCGAGAGGAACACCUGCGGCGAAGGCGGGUUGCUGGGCUGAUACUGACGCUGAGGCGCGAAAGCCAGGGGAGCGAACGGG
rnacentral:rRNA from 1 species